GGCUGCGUGUUCAGGACUUGGAACAGCGCCAUGGCCACGUUCAUGAUGGGCCCAGAGAGAAAAUCAGCAACCAAGUAGCAAGAAGACAAAAGAGCCGUGAGCAAGAAAAAAAAUAAAAGGAUCUGUGCAAGGCGAGGAGGCCAGGCGACCUCACAGCUUUCUGCAGCCCAAAGGGAAUGUGAUGGGUGCCUGGCCCACCGGAGCUGAAUCCAGAGCGUUUGUCUCACAGGACUGUCUCCCUCUCUGGGUACCUUCUGGGUGUAGAGGAAAACAGAAGCCAAAUGCUUUGGACAAGGCUGAAAGCGGAAGGCAGCUGUGCUUGGGGGCUCACGUUUGUUUCCAGAAUGUAUCUCCUGGGAGCGGCUGGGAUGCUCAGGCGAGGUCUCCACAAGAGGCAUCUCAAGGAGGCAAAAGAGAGGCCACCACUGCUGGGCCUCACGCUCCAUUUUGGAUUUGUCUUUGAGGAUUCCCCCUCUUCCCCAAGGGCUAAGGGAAGGCUAUCUAGUUGGCGAGCUCUACCUUAAGACGCCAGAUUCUGUCUCAGCCUCCAGUCAAGCCCACUAGUGGAAGUUAUCUGGGAGAAACACAUGGGUCCUGGGCUUCAAGAGACCCUGAAGGCUGGAAGGGGGGACAUUAUGAAAUACUUUACCUUUGUCCUUCCGGGUCUCAGUACUGGGGACUUGCGGGCAGGGCCCUCCAUGCCGAGCCGGAUGGAGUAGGGGUGAUCAUCCAUGGCAGGAAGAUUAGCGUAGCGCCCUGCAAAGGACUCUAGAAUUCUGAGGAAGAGGCAGUGUGACAUAGGGACUUUAAUUCAUCCUCUGGUCAGUUAGCACGUGAGGCGUUCAGGUGGGCAGGUCAGAAGCCUACACUUCAGGGCAGGCUAAGUCACUGCUUAUCUACAUAAACACCCAGAAGUGUUAUAAAUUCAGGUUCUGCAAAGUGACCUAUGUACCAUAUGUGACCCGAGAGAAAGAAUGAUCUGGCACUUCUGCCCCAAGGAACUUCUGCAAAUCCAGCCAGCUGCGGGUCAUGUGAUUCCUGGGCCGCUACUGCAGGAAAACAGCUGCCCUUCCUCCUAAGAGAUCCUGUUGUACACACCAGGCCUUGCAGUGCGCACUCCGACCUCUAAUUUCUGUGUUUGUGACUAGAGAUGAUGACAGUCCUGCAAGGUGAUGGCGAGGAGGCCACAAGCUUUCAAGUAUCAACUUUCUGCUGCAGCGCCUUGCGACUGUGCAACCACAGCAAGGUCAGAACCAGGGUCCCAACCUCUACAGGGCCCCGAGGUUCGCGGUCUCCCACUGCAGGAGGAUGCCUGCUUCCGGGACCAGCUUUCUUUUGGGGGAGCUGCGCGGCCUAGCGGCCUCUGGUAACCAAUGCACGGAUCCCUCUCCUCCCUCUCCCUUACCCCUCCCGAGUCCUAGCUCGUGGUUUGCGUCUUGGCCUCGGGAUCCUCCGGGUCCCACCGCGCGCUGCUCGCGGGCAAGCCGCUGGGCUCUGGCGCCUUGAGCGUCGGAGCAGGUCCUGCCCCCGCCGCGGGCGUGGGGACCUAGAGCUGCCCCUUCGCCCCUUGCCUCGGGCCAGAGGCGGACAAGCGACUGUAGAAGCAGCCGCAGGGUCUGCCCUGCCCCCGCCCCGCGCGGAGAGCUGCUGCCAAGAACUGUAAUAUUAAUAGGUACAAACUUCCUGGAAAGAUUUUCGUCUUCGCGGUAGAUGACCCCUCCUUGUCCGCCGGGGCAGGCGACCGGAGAGUCUGGGACCCACAGGAGCCGGGGACAUUUGGGACCCAGGGAGCCGCGGCUCACGAGGACUGUGGUUCAUUGGUGGGGACCCACUCGGUGGGCAGGUCACAGACGCCGCGGGGCGGGGCAGGGCCGGGCUCGCCUUUGUAAACUAGGUCCCCAGCAUUGGAGCCGCGACAUCCAACUGGCCUGGCCCCCGGGAGCGGGCACGCCCUGAGCCACCCCGCCCGCCCGCAAGCUCCGGCCGCAGCUCCUCCUCCGGAUCGGCUUCGGGGACGCGGACCUUUGGUCACUUAGCAGCACCCAAACAACUCUGCAGCUGAGGCCCAUAGGUGCGUGUCAUUGCUUUCUCCAGGAUUACCUGGCCCAGAAACAGCUGUAGCCAAAGCCGCCUCUCUCUUUCCCAAGAGAGACAGAUCAGGAAGCGUCCCAUCGGCCGGCCGCUUGGGCGCUGUGUGGCCAGUCCCUGCCUGCACCUUGCGAAUAGUCGGGUCCCAGUGCCCACGCAGGCUGCUCACUUCCGGUGAGUGGCUGGAGUUCCCGAACCCUGUUUUUCCCACCUGAAAGUCAUCACUCAUUAAAAAUAUUUACUGAA